rnacentral:lncRNA from 1 species
UUCAUAGUAACCGUCAGCCAAAAUUGGCUCAAAGGAUAUAGCACUUGACUUAUUUGAAGUGCCUGAUGUAGAACCUGAUGCAAUACGAUUAUGGAUUAAACAUGUGAGCACAGUAGAUGUAGAAUUUUCAGUGAUCAAGAUUACAUGAUUACCUUUUUCAAAGACAUGAAAAGGGCACAACACAUUUUUCACCUUGUGAAGCACAGCGGGUGGCGUACAAACUUCACAUUCAUUGGUUGCUGCAAGAAUUUUUUUUUAACAAACAUGAAAACCAAAUGGGUAUAACUGUUUCACAUGCGCACUCAUAUGUGUGUGUGUGUAUAUACACAUAUAUAUAUAUGGGAAAAGACAUAUAGUGAAUUUAAUGUUCUAACCUGUUUUUGGCAGAGAACAAGAGGCUGCAGCAAAAUUACCUGACAUUACAGAAGCUGGUUCAAUAAGAUUGACAUAAGUUUUACUUGCGAGAAGACGAUUAGUUGUUGUCUCUCUUUUUUUUAGACGCCGUUGCAGUAGAAGCGCAUUCUUUUCAGCCAUGGUCAUUUGUUGUAUACUUCACGUCGUUUGGCAUUCUUGUCAUAAGCUU